rnacentral:rRNA from 1 species
UGGGGAAUUUUGGACAAUGGGGGAAACCCUGAUCCAGCCAUCCCGCGUGUGCGAUGAAGGCCUUCGGGUUGUAAAGCACUUUUGGCAGGAAAGAAACGUCAUGGGUUAAUACCCCGUGAAACUGACGGUACCUGCAGAAUAAGCACCGGCUAACUACGUGCCAGCAGCCGCGGUAAUACGUAGGGUGCAAGCGUUAAUCGGAAUUACUGGGCGUAAAGCGUGCGCAGGCGGUUCGGAAAGAAAGAUGUGAAAUCCCAGAGCUCAACUUUGGAACUGCAUUUUUAACUACCGGGCUAGAGUGUGUCAGAGGUAGGUGGAAUUCCGCGUGUAGCAGUGACAUGCGUAGAUAUGCGGAGGAACACCGAUGGCGAAGGCAGCCUCCUGGGAUAACACUGACGCUCAUGCACGAAAGCGUGGGGAGCAAACAGG